rnacentral:rRNA from 1 species
UACGUAGGGACCGAGCGUUGUCCGGAUUCAUUGGGCGUAAAGAGCUCGUAGGCGGCUGUUCAAGUCGAACGUGAAAACUCGGAGCUCAACUCCGAGCCUGCGUUCGAUACUGGACGGCUAGAGUCUGGUAGGGGGAUCUGGAAUUCCUGGUGUAGCGGUGGAAUGCGCAGAUAUCAGGAGGAACACCGGUGGCGAAGGCGACUCGCUGGACAGACAUUGACGCUGAGGUGCGAAAGCGUGGGGAGCAAACAGG